UACGUAGGGGGCAAGCGUUGUCCGGAUUUAUUGGGCGUAAAGAGCGUGUAGGCGGUUAGGUAGGUCCGUUGUGAAAACUCGAGGCUCAACCUCGAGACGCCGAUGGAAACCAUCUAACUAGAGUCCGGAAGAGGAGAAUGGAAUUCCUGGUGUAGCGGUGAAAUGCGCAGAUAAUCAGGAAGAACACCCGUGGCUAAGGCGGUUCUCCUAGUACGGUACUGACGCUGAGACGCGAAAGCGUGGGGAGCGAAC
rnacentral:rRNA from 1 species